rnacentral:piRNA from 1 species
UGCUUUGGGACAUGCAACUUCUUUGG